rnacentral:rRNA from 1 species
AGCAGCCGCGGUAAUUCCAGCUCCAAUAGCGUAUAUUAAAGUUGUCGCAGUUAAAAAGCUCGUAGUUGAAUUUCGGGAUUUGUCAGUUGGUCGGGCUUCACUGUCCGUAUUGACUUGAUGGAUUCUUACCUUCUGAAUAACCAGCAUGCUAUUAAGUUAGUGCGUUGGGGAAGCAGAUCUAUUACCUUGAAAAAUUAGAGUGCUUAAAGCGAGCUAGUGCUUGAACAGAUUAGCAUGGAAUAAUAAAAUAGGACGGCAUGGUUCUAUUUUGUUGGUUUCUAGGAUCACCGUAAUGAUUAAUAGGGAUAGUUGGGGGCAUUAGUAUUCAAUUGUCAGAGGUGAAAUUCUUGGAUUUAUUGAAGACUAACUUCUGCGAAAGCAUUUGCCAAGGAUGUUUUCAUUAAUCAAGAACGAAAGUUAGGGGAUCGAAGACGAUCAGAUACCGUCGUA